AACGAACGCUGGCGGCAUGCCUAACACAUGCAAGUCGAACGAGACCUUCGGGCCUAGUGGCGCACGGGUGCGUAACGCGUGGGAACCUGCCCUUAGGUUCGGAAUAACUCCCCGAAAGGGGUGCUAAUACCGGAUAAUGUCUUCGGACCAAAGAUUUAUCGCCUUUGGAUGGGCCCGCGUUGGAUUAGCUAGUUGGUAGGGUAAAAGCCUACCAAGGCGACGAUCCAUAGCUGGUCUGAGAGGAUGAUCAGCCACAAUGGGACUGAGACACGGCCCAGACUCCUACGGGAGGCAGCAGUGGGGAAUAUUGGACAAUGGGCGAAAGCCUGAUCCAGCAAUGCCGCGUGAGUGAUGAAGGCCUUAGGGUUGUAAAGCUCUUUUACCCGGGAUGAUAAUGACAGUACCGGGAGAAUAAGCACCGGCUAACUCCGUG
rnacentral:rRNA from 1 species